rnacentral:rRNA from 1 species
UACGGAGGAUCCGAGCGUUAUCCGGAUUUAUUGGGUUUAAAGGGUGCGCAGGCGGGAGAUUAAGUCGGCGGUGAAAUUUUGCAGCUCAACUGUAAAAGUGCCUUCGAAACUGGUUUCCUUGAGUGUAGAUGAAGUAGGCGGAAUUUGUGGUGUAGCGGUGAAAUGCAUAGAUAUCACGAGGAACUCCGAUUGCGCAGGCAGCUUACUAAGCCAUAACUGACGCUCAAGCACGAAGGCGUGGGGAUCAAACAGGAUUAGAUACCCCCGUAGU